GUGAAAGAAGAUAAGUUAGCAUAGAGAAAGGAAGAGUUAGCAUAGAGGAAAUAAAGGUUAGCAUAGUGAAAUUAGAUAAGUCAGCAUAGUUAGCAUAGAAUUAGCAUAAAAAAUAGCAUAGAAGAAUAAAGGUUAGCAUAGUGAAAUUUGAUAUGUUAGCAUGUUUAGCAUAAAGUUAGCAUAGACAAAAGGAAGGUUAGCAUAAACAGCAUAGAGUUAGCAUAGAAGAAAUUACAAGCAAGCAUAGUGAAGCAUGAUCAAGAAGUGAAAUAUUGAGAAAAAAAAGAGAGAGAGAAAGGUCAGCAUACAUAAAUUACACAGGUCAGCAUAGCAUCAGCAUAACGUCAGCAUAGGGAAAUAAUAUGAGUGAAAUGUUAUGAAGAGAAUAUUGAGACAGCAUGAAUGAAGAGAAAUAUUUAGGUUAGCAUAGACAGCAUAGAUUAGCAUAGCAUAGGUUGAGAACAGAAUAGCAUAGGGUUAGCAUAGUCAGCAUAGUAAAUUGAAGGUUAGCAUAGAUGUAGCAUAGUUUAGUAUAAGAAUAGCAUAGAAAAUUGAAGGUUAGCAUAGAAUCAGCAUAGUUUAGCAUAGAAAAUUGAAGGUUAGCAUAGAAUCAGCAUAGUUUAGCAUAGUAAAUUGAAGGUUAGCAUAGAAUCAGCAUAGUUUAGCAUAGUAAAUUGAAGGUUAGCAUAGAAUCAGCAUAGUUUAGCAUAGAAAAUUGAAGGUUAGCAUAGAAUCAGCAUAGUUUAGCAUAGUAAAUUGAAGGUUAGCAUAGAAUCAGCAUAGUUUAGCAUAGAAAAUUGAAGGUUAGCAUAGAAUCAGCAUAGUUUAGCAUAGUAAAUUGAAGGUUAGCAUAGAAUCAGCAUAGUUUAGCAUAGAAAAUUGAAGGUUAGCAUAGAAUCAGCAUAGUUAGCACAGAAAAUUGAAGGUUAGCAUAGAAUCAGCAUAGUUUAGCAUAGAAAACUGAAGGUUAGCAUAGAAAUAGCAUAGAAAAUAAGUUUAGCAUAGAAUCAGCAUCAGUUUGCAUAGAAAUUGGAAGAUUAGCAUAGAACCAGCAUGUUAGCAUAGAGAAUCAAGGUUAGCAUACAUAUUAGCAAGGAAAUAGCUUAGGUUAGCAUAAAAAUGGUGAAGGUUAGCAUAGGUGAGCAUAACCUAACUAACUAGUGAAAUAUGAAGAAAGAGAUGAAGAAUUAGGAAACAGGAUGAGAGAGAGAGAGAGAGAGAGAGAGAGAGAGAGAGAGAGAGAGAGAGAGAGAGAGAGAGAGAGAGAGAGAGAGAGAGAGA